AAUGAACGCUGGCGGCAUGCCUUACACAUGCAAGUCGAACAGCAGCAUGACCUAGCUUGCUAGGUUGAUGGCGAGUGGCGAACGGGUGAGUAAUGCAUCGGAACGUGCCUUUUAGUGGGGGAUAACGUAGCGAAAGUUACGCUAAUACCGCAUAUUCUCUGAGGAGGAAAGCAGGGGACCUUCGGGCCUUGCGCUAGAAGAGCGGCCGAUGUCGGAUUAGCUAGUUGGUGAGGUAAAGGCUCACCAAGGCAACGAUCCGUAGCGGGUCUGAGAGGAUGAUCCGCCACACUGGGACUGAGACACGGCCCAGACUCCUACGGGAGGCAGCAGUGGGGAAUUUUGGACAAUGGGCGCAAGCCUGAUCCAGCCAUGCCGCGUGAGUGAAGAAGGCCUUCGGGUUGUAAAGCUCUUUCGGCUGGGAAGAAAUCGCACCCUCUAAUACAGGGUGUGGAUGACGGUACCAGCAUAAGAAGCACCGGCUAACUACGUG
rnacentral:rRNA from 1 species